rnacentral:tRNA from 4 species
GGACGGUUAGCUCAGUUGGUUAGAGCGCUACAUUGACAUUGUAGAGGCCGCAGAUUCGAGUUCUGCACCGUCCA